AAACUACUCCCUCCGUCCUAAAAUAGUUGUCAUCAAAAUGGACAAAAAAGGAUGUAUCUAGAACUAAAAUACAUCUAGAUACAUCCCCUUUUAUUCAUUUUGAUGACAAGUAUUUCCGGACAGAGGGAGUACUAC
rfam:Triticum aestivum genome assembly, contig: Triticum_aestivum_CS42_TGACv1_scaffold_578128_7BL